rnacentral:rRNA from 5 species
CUUGGUGGCUAUUGAGGUUGGGGUACACCUGUUCCCAUCCCGAACACAGAAGUUAAGUCAACCUUCGCCGAUGGUACUGGUCUUUGGGCCGGGAGAGUAGGGCGUCGCCAAGA